AACAGGAUUCCACAGUAGUAAAAUUCCAAUUGUUUUUCUGUACAUCUUACAGACUUCCGAUAAUUCUGGUUGGAAAUAAAAAUGACUUGCAUAUGGAAAGGUAUUCAAAUAUGUUAUACAGUAUUAUGUACAGUUAUUGUAUUUUUCUAUUAUAUUGAAUAUUUUUAUUAGCAUAUACUCGGGAGGUGCAUGGAUAAUGCUUUUCGCGCAAUUUGAUUGGUUGCUCAGCUCCGAAUAUCUUUGCACUAUUAACUAUAAGUUUACACUAUGGUUUACACGGUGGAUAGGCAAAAUUUAACCGGUGGAUAGCCCUAAACGGGCUUGAUACAACGCGAUUUCUCGAGCGUUUAAAUUUUAUCCGGCGGAUAGCGAGUUAAACGAUGAUUAGCGAGUUAAACGCCUUUGAUACAACCGGCCCCAGGGGACAAAAACAAAAUGUCUUCCCGUUUCGUUGCGGUUACAGACAAGCAAAUGUUUGUACUAAAAGAAAAGCCACAAAGUUUCGUUUCACAAUGUGCAGAGGUGUUCUUUAAAGCAAUUUUUCAUGAAUAAAAUAACCGAAAGCUUUAAAUAGAUAACUGUUUUGUUUACAAGUACAAGUACCCGAGACCGAGGCGAAGUCGCGGGAAACAUCGACGGCCGAGUGUUUUAUUAUAGUAUCAAUAGUCAAAGAAACAACAAUUUUAUUAAAGAACAAAUACAUGAAAUAUUUUAUUGUUAAAACGUUAAAUUAAACACUGCAGGUACUUAAAGUGAAAGUUUAAAUUGUUAUAUUGUAAUUGUUAUAUUGUUUUAAAUUGUUAGGCAUGUCCACAGGUCGCAUCUUCACGUGAUGGUGCACGUGAUUUUUUUUCGUUAUUCGCCGGUCGAUAACGUAUUAUCUCCUUCUCGCGCUGUUGCGAGGGAGAGAGCCUAACUUUUUUCACUCUCACGUGAUAAAACACUAGAAAAAGGGGACUUUGACUAUUGGUAUAUAUUAAUACAAAUUGUUUUAAAAACAUUUUCAUUGUUUUUGGUCGUUUUUGUUUUGUCAUGCAUGGUAUCUGCUAAAACAAUUAUUCACCUCAUUGUCAGUGAAUAGUGUAAGGAUAUUCACCUCAACGCUGCGCGUCUCGGUGAAUAUCCUUGCACUAUUCACCUCCACAUAGGUGAAUAAUUGUUAAUUAUUACAUAGCAAGUGUCAAAGUUCAAAUUUCCUGUUUGCCGAUUGGACAAAACCGUAUCACGUGCCGAUCCACAAAACGUCAUGUCCACGUUAUGGUUUGGCGAGGGGGCAACAGGUCAGUUAUUGACCGGUCAAUAAUAAAACUGGAAGUGAGGGGCUAGCUGCUCACGUCAACCAGCAAGUUCAAAGCAAAGUUCUUUCAAGAGUUUCUGCAUGUCUGCUGAUCGAUUUAAUUACAGUUUUGGAAUGCCAGGUGAAUUAUUGAGAGUCGGGCAACAACGGCAGCCUCGGGGCCACAAAACACGCUGUUUCCCUCGGUCUCAGUAAAUAAGUGAUAAUUGUCAUAUACAAGAGAAGACGUUUAUCAUAUAUAAUAGUGAAUGUAAUAGUGAUAGAAAUACCGUACUGAAACGUUUGUUGAGAUGAAGGCCCUAGCACAGUUUUACGUUGAGGGUGUAUAAUACAACAUUUCGAAGUCCAAUAAACUGGUAUGUACUGUAAAGGGAAACUCCGGCAACGCGAAAAUUGAGUUGAUUUAUUGGCAUUCUUCACUUUGGUUCCGGAAAACGAUUCAUUAAAGGCAUAAAUUACUGUUGAGUUUGGGAAACUUCGUGAUAGCCAAACAGUAUGUUUGUGAGUACAUAUAAAAAACCUAUAUUCUGGCAAUAUUUGUUAGGGUCAUAUCAACAGAGGAUGGAAAGCAAUUGGCUAAUAGCUGGAAAGCAAUUUUUCUGGAAACAUCUGCCAAAGAACAUAAGGUACUGUAUACUGUACCAAGUCGAUAUUGUUUGUGAUUUUCACUAACUUGUAUAUUUAGCAAGAUCGCAUUUUUUCAAUACAGUAGCAUGGUGAAAGCUGACCCGAAUAUUAUAUAGUUUUUGUUAAAAUAAUACUGUCUGAAAAUAAUUUAGGUUGAUUUAUAUCGAAAAUUCACAAUGUUAUCGUAAAGUGAGUUUUUAUGUACUGUAUUAUAGGAAAUUAUUAUAGUGCACAUUAUUUUCGGUAAGCAUUAAUUUAAUAAAUAGUUUUAUAGCGCAUGCAUGAAAGUUACAAUGAUUUAAAACACAAUAUAUAGUUUCCUAAAUGUUUUUACUGAAUUCGACAUUAUUAUUAAUCUUAUUAGAGUGUGGAACAAGUGUUUUACAGUCUUCUUGCUGAAAUCGAGAAACAGCAGAAUGGCCCGCCUGUAAAGAAAGAUGACUGUGCAAUUCUGUAAAACGUAGUGAAAUUACACUCAAUCUAUACUUAUAUAUACCCAUUAAAAGGAAUUUUUAAUAGUCAAUUAAUCAUAACAUACGUACAUACAUUCACUUUGGAAUCAACGUUUUCAAGCUGUUCAAAAUCCAUCCCAUCAACUACUGUAUUGCCCAGUCGAGUGAAUAGUGUAUAUGCUAUAUACUGUAUACUGUAUACUGUACACGUGUACGUUUGACGAUGAUCGUUUCCUGAUGUUUAGUGGAUCAGAUCCUUGUUAAUAAACAGGGUUUUGUACUUGAUGAUUUUGCAUGUUCAUACAUAUCUGACAAAGCUGUUCGAAAUUCAUUAAAGUUGUGCCCAAUUUGUUACAUUUUACUGAUUUCUAACGUAUUUUCUUCAGAAUUCAGUCCUUGAAUUUGCUGAUCAUACAUUGAAUGUCCUUAAAAAGUCCUUGAAUUUGACUCUUCCUGACAUGUACGAACCCUGAAUAUUUAAAUUAGCAUAUACAUUAAACAUUUUCUACAUGGUGCUGUAUAUAUUAAACAUACAGUAUACUGCUACAAUCCUGGACAAAACCAUCUGCGACACUCUGUUAAAACAUUCCCUUUGUGGCUUUUUUUUACCACUAAGACCGGAAUAAUUUACUCGUUUGCCCCCCUCCACCCCCCAAAACAAUGUUGGACAUUUUAUCCGUAUUCUACGAAUGCAAUCAACAUUGAUUGGUGGGAGUAAGGGGUAGGUUUUCUAAAUUCGCGAUAAUAUUUCGAAAUUUUGUCAAAUAAUUGAAAGUGUCGCAGAUGUUUUGUCCAGGAUUGUAGGCAGCAUGCUAAAUGAUAAGUUGCCUUGCAGUAUUAAGAAAGCUUCGGAUUGAUAGGGAUACAACUACCUGAAAAAUACAUAGAGAACUUCGACGUUUCGAGCGAAUUAAGGCCCUUCGUCCGCAAAUUAAUAGUAUAGAAGGCCCUUCGUCGGGAAAUUAGUAAUUAAUAGUAUAGAAGGCCCUUCAUCGGAAAAUAACUUCCCGACGAGGGGUUUUCGCUCGAAACGUCGAAGUUCUCUUUGUAAUUUCCAGGUAGUUGUAUCCCUGUCAAUCCGAAGUUUUCUUAAAUGAUAAGUCAAAUAUAAAUGUUGCUUUCUCAAUUUUCCCCUGAUAUCUUUCUCACUUUUUGUCACACUACAGGGUGUAUCAAAAAAAGGAGACCUUUAGAAUUCAAGCAUAUUGUUAAAAUUUAAAUGCUUUUUCAAUUCCACAUAUGCUGAAAGGUAGUGCGUGAAAUGUUGAUGGGGUGCAUAUAUUAGAAAAAGGAGACCUUUAGAAGCUCCUGGGAAUAAUCUGCCCUGCUCCUGGGAAUAAUAUGCCAUGUAUACUGUACGUAGAUCGCAUGUUACGCACUCGUGAGCUUAGCAAAGUGCUCCAGGAUUCAAAUUAUAACAAUGGUUGAUUUCUAAAGGUCUCCUUUUCUAACUGAUAUAUGCACUCCAUCAAUAUUUCACGCACCACGGUUCAGCAUAUGUGCAAUUGAAAGGCAUUCAAUUUUAACAAUAUGCUUGAUUUCUGAAGGCCUCCUUUUUUUAUACACCCUGUAAAAUAUGCACUGGCAGUAAUGGUCUAAUGCGAUUUUUCUAUCGCAGUUUGUUUAGAGUAAAUUAGGAAAAUUGAAACUCACUGUUAUGAUGUGAAAAUGAUCAUCUACCUAGGUGUUUCAUUAAGAACCCUAGCUGGUGAAACGUGCAAGUACAGUAACUGAAAUACUUCAAGUUUUAAACGUGGUUGUAUAAUAUUAUUUUGUUGUAUUGUACUUGAUUGUAUUAUAUUGCUGUUAACAAUGUGAAUUGAUGCAGGGGACGAAAAACAAUAAAUUACAUCUGCUGUACGUUAUCCAUGCUU
rnacentral:lncRNA from 1 species